GCUGGAAUCGCUAGUAAUCGUAGAUCAGCAUGCUACGGUGAAUACGUUCCCGGGUCUUGUACACACCGCCCGUCACACCACGAGAGUUUGUAACACCCGAAGCCGGUGGAGUAACCUUUUAGGAGCUAGCCGUCGAAGGUGGGACAAAUGAUUGGGGUGAAGUCGUAACAAGGUAGCCGUAUCGGAAGGUGCGGCUGGAUCACCUCCUUUCUAAGGA
rnacentral:rRNA from 1 species